rnacentral:rRNA from 1 species
AGUCGACGGAAGGCCCCUUCGGGGGUACUCGAGUGGCGAACGGGUGAGUAACACGUGGGUGAUCUGCCCUGCACUUUGGGAUAAGCCUGGGAAACUGGGUCUAAUACCGAAUAGGACCGCAUGCUUCAUGGUGUGUGGUGGAAAGCUUUUGCGGUGUGGGAUGGGCCCGCGGCCUAUCAGCUUGUUGGUGGGGUAAUGGCCUACCAAGGCGACGACGGGUAGCCGGCCUGAGAGGGUGUCCGGCCACACUGGGACUGAGAUACGGCCCAGACUCCUACGGGAGGCAGCAGUGGGGAAUAUUGCACAAUGGGCGCAAGCCUGAUGCAGCGACGCCGCGUGGGGGAUGACGGCCUUCGGGUUGUAAACCUCUUUCAGUAUCGGCGAAGCUCCAAGGUUUUUUUUGGGGUGACGGUAGGUACAGAAGAAGCACCGGCCAACUACGUGCCAGCAGCCGCGGUAAUACGUAGGGUGCGAGCGUUGUCCGGAAUUACUGGGCGUAAAGAGCUCGUAGGUGGUUUGUCACGUUGUCCGUGAAAACUCACAGCUUAACUGUGGGCGUGCGGGCGAUACGGGCAGACUAGAGUACUGUAGGGGAGACUGGAAUUCCUGGUGUAGCGGUGGAAUGCGCAGAUAUCAGGAGGAACACCGGUGGCGAAGGCGGGUCUCUGGGCAGUAACUGACGCUGAGGAGCGAAAGCGUGGGGAGCGAACAGGAUUAGAUACCCUGGUAGUCCACGCCGUAAACGGUGGGUACUAGGUGUGGGUUUCCUUCCUUUAGGGAUCCGUGCCGUAGCUAACGCAUUAAGUACCCCGCCUGGGGAGUACGGCCGCAAGGCUAAAACUCAAAUGGAAUUGAC